rnacentral:rRNA from 1 species
CCCUUAGAUGUUCUGGGCUGCACGCGUGCUACACUGAUAUUGCCAAUAUGUCAUUCUUAUCCGAAAUGGAUUGGGUAAUCAAGUAAUGAAAUUUCAUGCUUGGAAUCGGUAAUUGCAAUUUUAUCGUGAACGAGGAAUUCCUAGUAAGCACUAGUCAUCAGCUAAUGUUGAUUACGUCCCUGCCCUUUGUACACACCGCCCGUCGCUACUACCGAUUGAAUGGUUUAGUGAGAUCUUCGGAUUGGCGCCACUGCGGCUCAGCAAUGGGCUCGGUGGAUGCCGAAAAGUUGAUCAAACUUGAUCAUUUAGAGGAAGUAAAAGUCGUAACA